rnacentral:rRNA from 1 species
UUUAUGGAGAGUUUGAUCCUGGCUCAGGAUGAACGCUGGCGGCGUGCCUAAUACAUGCAAGUCGAGCGAACGGACGAGAAGCUUGCUUCUCUGAUGUUAGCGGCGGACGGGUGAGUAACACGUGGAUAACCUACCUAUAAGACUGGGAUAACUUCGGGAAACCGGAGCUAAUACCGGAUAAUAUUUUGAACCGCAUGGUUCAAAAGUGAAAGACGGUCUUGCUGUCACUUAUAGAUGGAUCCGCGCUGCAUUAGCUAGUUGGUAAGGUAACGGCUUACCAAGGCAACGAUGCAUAGCCGACCUGAGAGGGUGAUCGGCCACACUGGAACUGAGACACGGUCCAGACUCCUACGGGAGGCAGCAGUAGGGAAUCUUCCGCAAUGGGCGAAAGCCUGACGGAGCAACGCCGCGUGAGUGAUGAAGGUCUUCGGAUCGUAAAACUCUGUUAUUAGGGAAGAACAUAUGUGUAAGUAACUGUGCACAUCUUGACGGUACCUAAUCAGAAAGCCACGGCUAACUACGUGCCAGCAGCCGCGGUAAUACGUAGGUGGCAAGCGUUAUCCGGAAUUAUUGGGCGUAAAGCGCGCGUAGGCGGUUUUUUAAGUCUGAUGUGAAAGCCCACGGCUCAACCGUGGAGGGUCAUUGGAAACUGGAAAACUUGAGUGCAGAAGAGGAAAGUGGAAUUCCAUGUGUAGCGGUGAAAUGCGCAGAGAUAUGGAGGAACACCAGUGGCGAAGGCGACUUUCUGGUCUGUAACUGACGCUGAUGUGCGAAAGCGUGGGGAUCAAACAGGAUUAGAUACCCUGGUAGUCCACGCCGUAAACGAUGAGUGCUAAGUGUUAGGGGGUUUCCGCCCCUUAGUGCUGCAGCUAACGCAUUAAGCACUCCGCCUGGGGAGUACGACCGCAAGGUUGAAACUCAAAGGAAUUGACGGGGACCCGCACAAGCGGUGGAGCAUGUGGUUUAAUUCGAAGCAACGCGAAGAACCUUACCAAAUCUUGACAUCCUUUGACAACUCUAGAGAUAGAGCCUUCCCCUUCGGGGGACAAAGUGACAGGUGGUGCAUGGUUGUCGUCAGCUCGUGUCGUGAGAUGUUGGGUUAAGUCCCGCAACGAGCGCAACCCUUAAGCUUAGUUGCCAUCAUUAAGUUGGGCACUCUAAGUUGACUGCCGGUGACAAACCGGAGGAAGGUGGGGAUGACGUCAAAUCAUCAUGCCCCUUAUGAUUUGGGCUACACACGUGCUACAAUGGACAAUACAAAGGGCAGCGAAACCGCGAGGUCAAGCAAAUCCCAUAAAGUUGUUCUCAGUUCGGAUUGUAGUCUGCAACUCGACUACAUGAAGCUGGAAUCGCUAGUAAUCGUAGAUCAGCAUGCUACGGCGAAUACGUUCCCGGGUCUUGUACACACCGCCCGUCACACCACGAGAGUUUGUAACACCCGAAGCCGGUGGAGUAACCUUUUAGGAGCUAGCCGUCGAAGGUGGGACAAAUGAUUGGGGUGAAGUCGUAACAAGGUAGCCGUAUCGGAAGGUGCGGCUGGAUCACCUCCUUUCU